UACGUAGGGGGCAAGCGUUGUCCGGAUUUACUGGGCGUAAAGCGCGCGUAGGCGGAAGGUGAAGCGUGGCCUGAAAGCCCCCGGCUCAACCGGGGAGGGCGGCUGCGAACUGGCCUUCUUGAGGGCGGUAGAGGGGGGCGGAAUUCCUGGUGUAGCGGUGAAAUGCGUAGAGAUCAGGAGGAACACCAGUGGCGAAGGCGGCCCCCUGGGUCGGCCCUGACGCUGAGGCACGAAAGCGUGGGGAGCGAACGGG
rnacentral:rRNA from 1 species